rfam:Mustela putorius furo unplaced genomic scaffold scaffold00026, whole genome shotgun sequence.
CUCUGCUUUCAGCUUCUUUACAGUGUUGCCUUGUGGCAUGGAGUUCAAGCAGCAUUGUACAGGGCUAUCAAAGCAUGG